rnacentral:rRNA from 1 species
AUUGAACGCUGGCGGCAUGCCUUACACAUGCAAGUCGAACGGCAGCGGGCCCUUCGGGGUGCCGGCGAGUGGCGAACGGGUGAGUAAUGCAUCGGAACGUACCCGGGAGAGGGGGAUAACCGGCCGAAAGGCUGGCUAAUACCGCAUGAACUCGGAAGAGCAAAGCGGGGGACCUUCGGGCCUCGCGCUCUCGGAGCGGCCGAUGUCCGCAUAGGCUAGUUGGUGGGGUAACGGCCCACCAAGGCGACGAUCGGUAGCGGGUCUGAGAGGACGAUCCGCCACACUGGGACUGAGACACGGCCCAGACUCCUACGGGAGGCAGCAGUGGGGAAUCUUGGACAAUGGGCGCAAGCCUGAUCCAGCAAUGCCGCGUGGGUGAAGAAGGCCUUCGGGUUGUAAAGCCCUGUUGGCGGGGAAGAAAUCGGUCAGGCGAAUAGACGGGCCGGAUGACGGUACCCGCAGAAGAAGCACCGGCUAACUACGUG